rnacentral:rRNA from 1 species
GAUGAACGCUGGCGGCGUGCCUAAUACAUGCAAGUCGAGCGAACGGACGAGAAGCUUGCUUCUCUGAUGUUAGCGGCGGACGGGUGAGUAACACGUGGAUAACCUACCUAUAAGACUGGGAUAACUUCGGGAAACCGGAGCUAAUACCGGAUAAUAUUUUGAACCGCAUGGUUCAAAAGUGAAAGACGGUCUUGCUGUCACUUAUAGAUGGAUCCGCGCUGCAUUAGCUAGUUGGUAAGGUAACGGCUUACCAAGGCAACGAUGCAUAGCCGACCUGAGAGGGUGAUCGGCCACACUGGAACUGAGACACGGUCCAGACGCCUACGGGAGGCAGCAGUAGGGAAUCUUCCGCAAUGGGCGAAAGCCUGACGGAGCAACGCCGCGGGAGUGAUGAAGGUCUUCGGAUCGUAAAACUCUGUUAUUAGGGAAGAACAUAUGUGUAAGUAACUGUGCACAUCUUGACGGUACCUAAUCAGAAAGCCACGGCUAACUACGUG